rnacentral:rRNA from 1 species
GACGAACGCUGGCGGCGUGCUUAACACAUGCAAGUCGAACGGAAAGGCCCUGCUUUUGUGGGGUGCUCGAGUGGCGAACGGGUGAGUAACACGUGAGUAACCUGCCCUUGACUUUGGGAUAACUUCAGGAAACUGGGGCUAAUACCGGAUAGGAGCUCCUGCUGCAUGGUGGGGGUUGGAAAGUUUCGGCGGUUGGGGAUGGACUCGCGGCUUAUCAGCUUGUUGGUGGGGUAGUGGCUUACCAAGGCUUUGACGGGUAGCCGGCCUGAGAGGGUGACCGGCCACAUUGCGACUGAGAUACGGCCCAGACUCCUACGGGAGGCAGCAGUGGGGAAUAUUGCACAAUGGGCGGAAGCCUGAUGCAGCAACGCCGCGUGCGGGAUGACGGCCUUCGGGUUGUAAACCGCCUUCGCCUGUGACGAAGCGUGAGUGACGGUAAUGGGUAAAGAAGCACCGGCUAACUACGUG